AGGUAAUUAGUUUAAAUAAACAUUUGAUUUCGACUCAAAAGCUUAUGGUUAAAAUCCAUAAUUAACCUA
rnacentral:tRNA from 1 species